rnacentral:rRNA from 1 species
GACGAACGCUGGCGGCGUGCUUAACACAUGCAAGUCGAACGGUAAGGCCCUUCGGGGUACACGAGUGGCGAACGGGUGAGUAACACGUGGGUGAUCUGCCCUGCACUUCGGGAUAAGCCUGGGAAACUGGGUCUAAUACCGGAUAGGACCCUGGGAUGCAUGUCCUGGGGUGGAAAGCUUUUGCGGUGUGGGAUGGGCCCGCGGCCUACCAGCUUGUUGGUGGGGUGAUGGCCUACCAAGGAGACGACGGGUAGCCGGCCGGGGAGGGUGACCGGCCACACUGGGACUGAGAUACGGCCCAGACUCCUACGGGAGGCAGCAGUGGGGAAUAUUGCACAAUGGGCGCAAGCCUGAUGCAGCGACGCCGCGUGAGGGAUGACGGCCUUCGGGUCGUAAACCUCUUUCAGCACCGACGAAGCGCAAGUGACGGUAGGUGCAGAAGAAGGACCGGCCAACUACGUGCCAGCCGCCGCGGUAA